AAACUUAAAUGAAUUGACGGGGACCCGCACAAGCGGUGGAACAUGUGGUUUAAUUCGACGCAAAGCGAAAAACCUCACCAAGGUUUGACAUACCAACCGUAUCCCUAAGAAACUAGGGAGUCAGUUCGGCUGGAUUGGAUACAGGUGUUGCAUGGCUGUCGUCAGCUCGUGUCGUGAGAUGUCGGGUUAAGUCCUUUAACGAGCGCAACCCUCAUUGCAUGUUAAUUUUUCAUGCGAGACUGCCCUGGUUAACAGGGAGGAAGGUGGGGAUGACGUCAAGUCAGCAUGGCCCUUACACCUUGGGCUACACACGUGUUACAAUGGCCGGUACAAUAAGUCGCAAUACCGUAAGGUGGAGCUAAUCUAUGAAAACCGGUCCCAGUUCGGAUUGGGGGCUGAAACUCGCCCCCAUGAAGUCGGAAUCGCUAGUAACCGUGAAUCAGCACGUCACGGUGAAUACGUUCCCGGGUCUU
rnacentral:rRNA from 1 species